GCCCGGCUAGCUCAAUCGGAAGAGCGUGAGACUCUUACGAGUUCUUCGUUAAAUCAGACAUCUCAAGGUUGUGGGUUCGAGCCCCACGUUGGGCU